GGAGAGGUGGCUGAGUGGCUGAAAGCAGCACACUGCUAAUGUGUUGACCCCUUAAAAGGUCCCAGGGUUCGAAUCCCUGCCUCUCCGCCA
rnacentral:tRNA from 1 species